CGGAGGAAAAGAAACCAACAGGGGAUUGCCCUAGUAACGGGCGAGUGAAGCGGCAACAGCUCAAAUUUGAAAGCUGGCCUUCGGGUCCGCAUUGUAAUUUGUAGAGGAUGCUUUGGGUGAAACGCCAGUCUAAGUUCCUUGGAACAGGACGUCAUAGAGGGUGAGAAUCCCGUAUGUGACUGGAAAUGUUAACCUAUGUAAAGCUCCUUCGACGAGUCGAGUUGUUUGGGAAUGCAGCUCUAAAUGGGAGGUAAAUUUCUUCUAAAGCUAAAUAUUGGCGAGAGACCGAUAGCGCACAAGUAGAGUGAUCGAAAGAUGAAAAGCACUUUGGAAAGAGAGUUAAAAAGCACGUGAAAUUGUUGAAAGGGAAGCGCUUGCAAUCAGACUUGUUUAAACUGUUCGGCCGGUCUUCUGACCGGUUUACUCAGUUUGGACAGGCCAGCAUCAGUUUCGGCGGCCGGAUAAAGGCUCUGGGAAUGUGGCCUUCACUUCGGUGAAGGUGUUAUAGCCCAGGGUGUAAUACGGCCAGCCGGGACUGAGGUCCGCGCUUCGGCUAGGAUGCUGGCGUAAUGGUUGUAAGCGACCCGUCUUGAAACACGGACCAAGGAGUCUAACAUCUAUGCGAGUGUUCGGGUGUCAAACCCCUGCGCGUAAUGAAAGUGAACGGAGGUGGGAACCGCAAGGUGCAC
rnacentral:rRNA from 1 species